UCGUGAUGAGGCGAUAAAUUGCGGCUCAGCCUCAUUAACUGUCUCUUCCUUGUUGCGGUGAUAGGGGACGGACGAGCUGCGGCCCGGAGACCGAAAUCAACCCGCCGAAGGCCUCGACUCACGGACUGAAGAAUGGAUGGAUGUUUAUAAGGUGGUGAUCCUACAGGAGCUUCAGCUUUGCUUUGUCUUCUCAGUUUAAGAUUUUACAGUUUGAAAGUACAGUAGUUGUUAUCUAUGCACAGGCCAACUGCAAUGAAUUUCUAUUUGAGAUACAUAGUGGAUGCUUUAUUAGUUACAUCUGUACAGUUGAUUCCAUUUCAAUAAAACCGCUCUGCUAUA